rnacentral:rRNA from 1 species
UACGUAGGGUGCGAGCGUUAAUCGGAAUUACUGGGCGUAAAGCGUGCGCAGGCGGUUCGUUGUGUCGGCGGUGAAAGCCCCGGGCUCAACCUGGGAAUGGCCGUUGAAACUGGCGAACUGGAGUGUGGCAGAGGGGGGUGGAAUUCCGCGUGUAGCAGUGAAAUGCGUAGAGAUGCGGAGGAACACCGAUGGCGAAGGCAGCCCCCUGGGCUAACACUGACGCUCAGGCACGAAAGCUAGGGGAGCAAACAGG